UGGUCAGGUGGAAUAAUCCUUAUCUGCUGCUUCUUUUGAAGGGCAGAUUAGAACAUGAUAAUUGGAGAUCACAUGAUACAUGACUAAAGGUUCUGUGUAAUCAGGGUUUACAAUAUCCUGAUUAUUCCUAUCUUAC
rnacentral:snoRNA from 1 species